rnacentral:lncRNA from 1 species
AUGGAGUCUCUCUCUGUCACCCAGGACUCCGUCUCAAAAAAAAAAAAAAGAAAGCGCAGAGUUUGGGAUCACAGUACCUACCGACAUAGGACACAAACUUAACUCACAGUUAACCUGAUGUUCAAAUGGGCAGGGAAUGAAUAUGCUCCCUUAUUUUUGUCCACAGCUAACCUUCCUUCACAAGCCACCACAUGCUGAUUACAUAGGAAAAAAUAACUUUUAAAAAAUUAGGCAGGAGGAUUGCCUGAGGCUGGAGUUUGAGACCAGACUGGGCAACACAGCAAGACCACCAUCUCUACAAAAACAAAAUUAAAUUAAAUAUUCAAAUUGGUUUAAAGCAAGCAAUCUCUUUAGAAAUGUUUCCAUCUCAGCCAGGCGUGGUGGCUCACGCCUGUAAUCCCAGCACUUUGGGAGGCUGAGGCAGGAGGAUCACUUGAGGUCAGGAGUUCAAGACCAGGCUGGCCAACAUGGCAAAACC